rnacentral:rRNA from 1 species
UACGUAGGGUGCAAGCGUUGUCCGGAAUUAUUGGGCGUAAAGAGCUCGUAGGCGGUCUGUCGCGUCUGCUGUGAAAACUCGGGGCUUAACCCCGGGCCUGCAGUGGGUACGGGCAGACUAGAGUGAUGUAGGGGAGACUGGAAUUCCUGGUGUAGCGGUGAAAUGCGCAGAUAUCAGGAGGAACACCGGUGGCGAAGGCGGGUCUCUGGGCCGAUACUGACGCUGAGGAGCGAAAGCGUGGGGAGCGAACAGG